UUUUUGGAGAGUUUGAUCCUGGCUCAGGAUGAACGCUGGCGGCGUGCCUAAUACAUGCAAGUCGAGCGGGAGAAUCAUCCUUCGGGAUGAGGAUCCAGCGGCGAACGGGUGAGUAACACGUGGGCAACCUGCCCGCAAGACCGGGAUAACUCCGGGAAACCGGGGCUAAUACCGGAUAGUCCGUUUCCCCGCAUGGGGAAAAGGGGAAAGGCGGCUUCGGCUGUCACUUGCGGAUGGGCC
rnacentral:ncRNA from 1 species